rnacentral:rRNA from 1 species
GACGAACGCUGGCGACGUGCUUAACACAUGCAAGUCGAACGGAAAGGCCCUGCUUUUGUGGGGUGCUCGAGUGGCGAACGGGUGAGUAACACGUGAGUAACCUGCCCUUGACUUUGGGAUAACUUCAGGAAACUGGGGCUAAUACCGGAUAGGAGCUCCUGCUGCAUGGUGGGGGUUGGAAAGUUUCGGCGGUUGGGGAUGGACUCGCGGCUUAUCAGCUUGUUGGUGGGGUAGUGGCUUACCAAGGCUUUGACGGGUAGCCGGCCUGAGAGGGUGACCGGCCACAUUGGGACUGAGAUACGGCCCAGACUCCUACGGGAGGCAGCAGUGGGGAAUAUUGCACAAUGGGCGGAAGCCUGAUGCAGCAACGCCGCGUGCGGGAUGACGGCCUUCGGGUUGUAAACCGCUUUCGCCUGUGACGAAGCGUGAGUGACGGUAAUGGGUAAAGAAGCACCGGCUAACUACGUGCCAGCAGCCGCGGUGAUACGUAGGGUGCGAGCGUUGUCCGGAUUUAUUGGGCGUAAAGGGCUCGUAGGUGGUUGAUCGCGUCGGAAGUGUAAUCUUGGGGCUUAACCCUGAGCGUGCUUUCGAUACGGGUUGACUUGAGGAAGGUAGGGGAGAAUGGAAUUCCUGGUGGAGCGGUGGAAUGCGCAGAUAUCAGGAGGAACACCAGUGGCGAAGGCGGUUCUCUGGGCCUUUCCUGACGCUGAGGAGCGAAAGCGUGGGGAGCGAACAGGCUUAGAUACCCUGGUAGUCCACGCUGUAAACGGUGGGUACUAGGUGUGGGGUCCAUUCCACGGGUUCCGUGCCGUAGCUAACGCUUUAAGUACCCCGCCUGGGGAGUACGGCCGCAAGGCUAAAACUCAAAGGAACUGACGGGGCCCCGCACAAGCGGCGGAGCAUGCGGAUUAAUUCGAUGCAACGCGUAGAACCUUACCUGGGUUUGACAUGGAUCGGGAGCGCUCAGAGAUGGGUGUGCCUCUUUUGGGGUCGGUUCACAGGUGGUGCAUGGCUGUCGUCAGCUCGUGUCGUGAGAUGUUGGGUUAAGUCCCGCAACGAGCGCAACCCUUGUUCACUGUUGCCAGCACGUUAUGGUGGGGACUCAGUGGAGACCGCCGGGGUCAACUCGGAGGAAGGUGGGGAUGACGUCAAGUCAUCACGCCCCUUAUGUCCAGGGCUUCACGCAUGCUACAAUGGCUGGUACAGAGAGUGGCGAGCCUGUGAGGGUGAGCGAAUCUCGGAAAGCCGGUCUCAGUUCGGAUUGGGGUCUGCAACUCGACCUCAUGAAGUCGGAGUCGCUAGUAAUCGCAGAUCAGCAACGCUGCGGUGAAUACGUUCCCGGGGCU